AGUGAACGCUGGCGGUAGGCCUAACACAUGCAAGUCGAACGGCAACACAGUAAGAGCUUGCUCUUACGGGUGGCGAGUGGCGGACGGGUGAGGAAUACAUCGGAAUCUACUUUUUCGUGGGGGAUAACGUAGGGAAACUUACGCUAAUACCGCAUACGACCUACGGGUGAAAGCAGUGGAUCUUCGGACCUUGCGCGAUUGAAUGAGCCGAUGUCGGAUUAGCUAGUUGGCAGGGUAAAGGCCCACCAAGGCGACGAUCCGUAGCUGGUCUGAGAGGAUGAUCAGCCACACUGGAACUGAGACACGGUCCAGACUCCUACGGGAGGCAGCAGUGGGGAAUAUUGGACAAUGGGCGCAAGCCUGAUCCAGCCAUGCCGCGUGGGUGAAGAAGGCCUUCGGGUUGUAAAGCCCUUUUAUUGGGAAAGAAAAGCAGCAGGUUAAUACCCCGCUGUUCUGACGGUACCCAAAGAAUAAGCACCGGCUAACUUCGUG
rnacentral:rRNA from 1 species